UAUUGUUCAGUCUUUCCAUCCAUUUUAAGUCCUCUUUUAUGUUAACAAAAGUUUUUAAAAAUUCCACAUAGAGGUUUUACCAUUUAGAUUUAUUUCCAAAGACCUUCAGUUUUUGUAGUAAGAACGAGUGGGCUCUGUUUUUAUUACAUUUUAAAUUGGUCGUUGCUAGUGAAUAGACAUACUACUAACUUUGUAAAUUAGACCUGUGUCUAACAAACUUGUUAAUGUCUUUCUAAAUAGUUUUAUUGUUUUACCAGUCUGUUAAGGAUGCCAUGACAAUAAGCAUCCUUAUGUUGUUCCUGAUUUUAAAGGGAAUAUUUUUAAGGUUUCAUUAUCGAGGAUUAUGUAUGCUCCAGGUUCAGAUUGAUAGUUUAAGUUGGGUUAAAAAUAUUAAUAGUCUAUUCUAUUACUAAUUUGCCAAGAGUUUAAAUUAAUUUUUAAGUAUUAAAACUGCAGUUACUUUUGUACCAGCCUAAUAUUAAUAGGUGUUUAAUUUGAUCCAAUGUUUUUUGUGUAUCUGUUGAGAUGAUUUUUCUCCUUUUAUAUUUGAAAUAUAAUAUUUCUUCUUCUUUUUUUAAAAUUAUAGGUGGGGUCAUCUCCCUGUGUUACCCAGGCUGGUCUCAAACUCCUGAGCUCAUGUAGUCUCCCCCUGCCUUGGCCUCUCAAAGUGCUGUGAUUACAGGAAUGAGCCAUCACACCAAGCCAUAUUUCCUCUUUUCUUAGAGAAGUUUCAGAGACAUGGGUCUUGCUAUGUUGAUCAGGCUGCAGUGCAAUGGCUAGUUACGGGCAUGAUCAUAGUGCACUACAGCACUGAACUCCAGGGCUCAAGUGAUUCUCCUGCCUAAGCAUCCCUAGUAGCUAGGACUGUAGGUGGGUGCCAUCACAGCUGGAUAAUGUUUUCUCUUUUAAAAUAAUAUUUUAGGCCAGGUGUGGCGGCUCAUGCCUAUAAUCCCAACACUUUGGGAGUCUGAGGCGAGCUGAUCACAUGGUCAGGAGUUCAAGACCACCCUGGCCAACAUGGUAAAACCCUGUUUCUACUGAAAAAAAAAAAAAUACAAAAAUUAGCUGGGCAUGAUGGUGAGUGCCUGUAGUCCCAGCUACUCGGGAGGCUGAGGCAGAAGAAUUACUUGAACCAGGGAGGUGGAGGUUGCAGUGAGCUGAGACUGCGUCACUGCACUCCAGCCUGGUGACAGAGUGAGACUCUGUCUCAAAAAAAAAAAAUAUAUAUAUAUAUUUUUUAUAUAUAUACAAAAAUAUAUAUAUAUAAUAUAUAUAUAAUAUAUAUUUUUUAUAAAUAUAUAUAUGAGUAAAAUGAAGUGGUUAAAAAAUCUGAAAUGUAAAAUUGAAAUUUUAUGGUAUUUAUUUAUGUAUUUAUUUCCUCUGCUGGACUUGUAUCUAAUAUCUUAAAGGUCGAGACUAGUUAUUUUAUUCAUCAUUGUUUCCCUAGCACAGUGAAGGUGUUCAGCUCACAUAUAAGGGUUAGAUGGAUGAACAAAAGAACAAGCAGACAGGCAAUGAUUGAGAUAAGAGAAAGGGAUUAUGCCAAAAGGAAAAUAAUGAAAGCAAAAGCCUUGUUAACUGUUAAUUUCAUUAUCCACAUGGAGUCCUGGGUGGAGCCUUAGGGAACUCCAGAAAUGACUGUAAUGAUUCUCCAAUGAUUGAGGGAAAUAUAUUCAAUAUUUCUAUUGCAUUAGACCUGCAAUAUUUUGCAAAUUUAUUGCCUUUUUUUAAUCUCUCUCUUUAUAAAGAAGCUUUUUAAAUUCUCCUCAUUGGGGAUGUUCUUUCUUUUGAAUUCAUUCAGUCACUUAAUAUUUAUUGAUUACCUGCUAUAUACUAGGCUCAGUGCUACUGCUGGGAACUAGUUAGAUAGAGCCUGUCUCUACACUGGAGGAUCUCUCUGGCUGGCGGGGGGUAUAAACAUGUAAACAAACAAAUAUGGCAGUGAUUUUUAAAUAUCUAUCCUAAUUCCCUUUCGUGUUUUUCCACUAUAAAACCCACUUUGUAAAGGAGAUCGGCUGUUUAUUGGGGUUUUAACAGUUGUGUUUGGUAAACAAAAGAAUAACUUGAAGUAACUGAGGAUUGGAUGCUGGAAGGAAAUUAUCUGAGCUACCACUCUUGGUUUAUUUACUACUAUCUCUUCCUCACUUUCAACUUUCAAUAUUGAAGGAGUGUAUUCCUGAGUUCGACAGGUAAAAAAUAUGACUAGUUUAUGUGCUUUAAUUAGUUAGAAAUUAGAAAUUUAGGGUCCAGACACAGUGGCCCAUUCCUGCAAUCCCAGCACUUUGGGAAGCCAAGCUGGGAAGAUCACUUGAGGCUAGACUUUGAGACCAGCCUGGGCAACAUAGCAAGAUCCUAUCUCUACAAAUAAAUUUUAAAAACCAGCCAGGUGUAGUAGCAUGCACCUAUAGUGCCAGCUACUAGGCAGCUGAGGCAGGAGUAUUGCUUGAGCCCAAGAGGCUGAGGCUGCAGAGAGCUAUGAUCUCACCACCGCACUAUACUCCAGCCUGGGUGACAGAGGGAGACGCUGUUUCUACCAAAAAAAAAAAAAAGAAAGAAAGAAAUUAGAAAUUUAGGAAGUAUGUUAAUCUCUUCUGAUUUUAAAGCAAAGUAUCAUUUUACUCAUAAAUGUUUAAGUAUAUAUAUAUAUAAACAUAUAGGACUUUAAAAUCAUGACCAUAAUAUUGGUAUCACACUCACUGAAGUUAAUAAUCUAAUAAUGGGUGCAUUUUAAACAUUCAGAUGAAUAUGAAACAACCAGAGUCUAAGUAAAGGAAUUUACCAUGUUCCAAUUUACCAGUUGGGGAAUAGCUUGGCUUUUAACCCCAAAUUUAGUGGGUUAUUUUUUUUAAUUUUAGCCAGAAACAUUUAAAAAUCAUCCCUUCCGUGUCCCCUCUUUUAAAACAGAGUAACAAAGUAAGCAGCAUGGAUGCUCUUAGUUUCUAAUUUUAUUCUCAGUGUACUUUACAAUAUCCUGUGGGUGAUGGGAAUGAAUAUGUGUCCUGCAAAACCUGGUAUUUUCUUAUAUGAUGAAUAUUUUCCAUUUUAUUUAAAAGGCAAAGCUGUUGGGAUAUCCUUUGCAUUAUAUUCUGAAAAUAAAAAUCAGAAUCCCUGCUGCUAAUGGUGAGAUUGAUAUUCUAAUACCCUAGUUCUAAGCCUAGCUUUGAAUGCUUUGAAUAAGAAAGUCAUUCCUCAUGACUUCUAACAGGUAAUGCUUUGUUUCACUGAUUCUCUUUCAGGGAUUUUCUUUUUGAGGCUUUUCUUUUUUCUUUCUUUUUUUUUUUUGAGUCAGAGUUUGGCUCUUGUUACCCAGGUUGGAGUGCAAUGGCACAAUCUCAGCGCACCGCAACCUCCGCCUCCUGGGUUCAGGCAAUUCUCCUGCCUCAGCCUCCUGAGUAGCUGGGACUACAGGCACACACCACCAUGCCCAGCUAAUUUUUUGUAUUUUUAGUAGAGACGGGGUUUCACCAUGUUGACCAAGAUGGUCUCGAUCUCUUGACCUCGUGAUCCACCCGCCUCAGCCUCCCAAAGUGCUGGGAUUACAGGCGUGAGCCACCGCACCCGGCUGAGGCUUUUCAAACUAAAUAGAAGCCAGUACUCUUGAGCCACAUUAAACCUUGUUUCAGGCCUGGAAAGACUUGCAUGUUUUUUAAAAAAAGAGACUAGGGAAGAAACAGUUACUGUCAUAUGUUUUACUAGACUAUAUAUUAAACCAGAAUUAGUCAUCUCAGCCACAGAGCUCCAUUCUGCUCUUUGUCUAAUUGUGUUAAAGAUUUUAAUCAAUUUGUAAGCUGUAGCAAGUUCAGUUUAUAAAAUAAACUGAUGGUACUUUAUGAGCAUUUACUACUUGCCAUCGGUCUCCUAUGCACUAAAGAAGCAAAAAGAUGACUUCUAUAUCAGAAGUCUUUGUUAGUAUUUCACCUAAAAAAUUUAAAUAUAUUGCUUUUUAUUACUUCCUGUUUGAACCUACAAUCAAGUGGAGAAAUACCAUGUGAAAGAUUGUACAUGCUGGCUUCUUUGGUUGAAGACAUUGUUUGCCUUCCAUUUUGUAUCUAGGGGUAAAUUUUUGAGACUUGCCUGUUUACCAUUAAAAUAAGAUUUAAAUUAUAAAAUGCCUUUAGACUCUGCUUUUUUGGUAUGUGGGGUUUUUUUUGUUUUUGUUUUUUUGCCUGUCCAGUGAAGUUCUGAGCUAUACUUGCCCAAAACUCUUACUAUACCAUGAGUUCUGAAUUAUAGAUAAGCAGUUAGAGAGUAAACAGGGUAGAAUUGGUAAACUAGAAGGACCCAGAGGAAUCAUCUGGUACUUUUCCUUCAUAUAGGAUGAAGGAAACCUCUCCAGAAAGUGAUCCUUUUCUCUAAAUAAUUUUCAAAGAGAGAUGUUUAUUCAUUUAUGUAAUGCUUUUUUUUUUUUUUUUUAAAUUCUGAGCCCGGUGCUGUUUAACUCUCUCUCUCUCUUUAGUCACCCUCAGUCGGGAAUUGUUUCUCAGUCUUUGACUUUUAUAAUGUUGAUACUUUUGAAGAUGACAAGCUAGUUAUUUAGUAGAGUGUUUCUCCAUUUGAGUUUGUCUGUGGUUCUUCAUGAUUAGAUUUAGAGUACGUACCAUGAGGAAGAAUAUUAUAGAAGUGAUGCUGUUUUUCUCAUCCCAUCCAUUCUAUCAGAUAGAGUAUAAUUUUGAUUUGUCUCAUUGGCUGGUGAUGCUCACACUGAUCAUUUGACCAAGGUGAUUUCUGCAAGGUUCUUUAUGUAAAGUUUCUCUAUUCUCCUUCAUGACUAAUAAGAAUUUCGUGGGGAAGUACUUUGAAAUUAUGUAAAUAUCCAAUUACUAAUAAAAAUUUCGAUUUAUUUCAUUGAUCUAUAGAAUCAUGAUUUUCUGUUUUAUUCAGUAUUAUAUCUUAUUCAACCAUUAUUUAUUUUAAUGCUGAAAUUUUCCCCUACUUGGCCACUGGGAGCUCCUAGAGAAUGGCUUUUUUGUCCUUUUGACAUGUUUCCAUUAUUCUUCAAGCAUAACUUGCUUUUGGAACAGCAAGAUAUUCCAAGCUCUUUUUGUGCUUUCCUGGCACUAGCCCUAGAAUCAAGUAUUUCUCCAAGUAGCCCUUUUUAGUAGAUACUGAUCUAUAUGGAUAUAUAUGGCUCUUUUUAGUAGACAUUGAUGUAUAGCAACCAAGCCCUGUGCAGUAGAUUUGCUCAUUGCUUCUGGAUAUGUAUUGUUGCUUUUAGAUCUUCUCAGCAAACAGAACUAGAGAAUAAAUACACACACACACACACACACACACACACACGUAUUUACACCUGUAUUUCUUCUACCUCACAGAGCUCAUUUUAGUUUUUUAUCUCUCUGGAUCCUAAACUUACUGGUAAAUCCCCCAGUGUUUGCUAACUAGCUGCCUCUUUGUGUGGUUGCCCUGUUAACUCUGUUUAAAUGCCACAUGCCAGAUUGCACCCUUCCAUGGAUGCCUUUCUGGCGUUCUGCUUAGGCUCCAACACAUCCGUGUCAGGCUGCCACUCUUCAUGAAUGCCCUCAUCAUCUUGCUGGGGCUAAGUUUCCCCAAGCACAUGAAAAACUGGACUGUUUUCAUGAGUUUGGAUACCAAAGAAAAUUGAAAGACUGAAAAGUACUUAAGAGUUUACUUUAAAGGGAGGAAACUGGAGCAGAAGUUCUCCAAAUGUGAUCUCUAGACUCAGAACAUCAGCAUUCCCUGGGAGCUUCUUGGAAACUUAGAUUCAUAGGCUCCAUCUCAGACCUGCAUCAGAAACUCCAGGUACGGGGCCCAGCAAUUUGUGCUUUAACAAGCUCUCCAGGGAAUUCUGACACAUACUAGUGUUUGAGACCCACUAUCCAAGGGAGAGACAGAGUCUCAACUUAGUAUUCUGUUCUGCAUCUAGGUUAUCUCUGACAUAAUGAAGACUCCCUGGUUGUCAAGGUCUUGGAACUAUUUUUUUUUUAAUUAUUAUUUUUUUUAGAGACAGGGUUUCACCAUGUUGGUCAGGCUGCUCUCGAACUCCCGACCGCAGGUGAUCCGCCUGCCUUAGCCUCCCAAAGUGCUGGGAUUACAGGUGUGAGCCACCGUACCCAGCCUGGUCUUGGGACUAUUUUUAAGGACUUUGGAGCCAUCCUAGAAAUGAAGUCCUCUCAUAUGGAUCAAGAUUGGAAUAUCUAUCCUGUUAACCCACCAUCUGUGGAAAACCUAAUUCUCUAGGGAAAAUCAAGGAAUUAUACGAGAAUUAAACUGUGCUUUGUCUUUUUGGUAUAGAAAUGUUUUAAUUAAAGCUUUACAGAUAGAAAUAGUUAAAAGAAGGACUAAAAUUAAUAUCAAAGCAAUGAAAGUUGUGUAGUUUUUGUUGUUUUGUUUUUGUUUUGAGACAGAGUUUCGCUCUCGUUGCCCUGGCUGGGGUGCAAUGGCGCGAUCUCAGCUCACUGCAACCUCCACCUCCUGGGUUUAAGAAAUUCUCUUGCCUCAGCCUCCCAAAUAGUUGGGAUUAUAGGCAUGUACCACCACUCCCAGCUAAUGUUGUGUUUUUAGUAAAGAUGGGAUUUCACUCUGUGUAGGUAAGGCUGGUCUCAAACUGCCAACCUCAGGUGAUCCACCUGCCCCAGCCUCCCAAAGUCCUGGGAUUGUAAGCAUGAGCCACCGUGCCUGGCCAAAAAUUGUACAGGUUUUACUUAUUUUAAGCUCACAUUUGAUGUAAGAAUGUAAAAUUAAUGAAAUAUUACUCUCCUGUACUGGCUGUGUGUUUUCUGUAGUAUCUAAAAUAUGCAUCAAGGCCAGGCACACCUGUAAUCCCAGCACUUUGGGAGGCUGAGGCAGGUGGAUCAACCACUUGAGCCCCAGAGUUCGAGACAAGUUGGGCAACAUGGCAAAACCUUAUCUCCACAAAAAAAUAUAAAAAUUAUCUGCUAGUGGUGGCAUGGACCUGUGGUCCCAGCUACUUUGGAGGGUAAGAUGGGAGAAUGGCUUGAGCCCAGAUGGUCAUGCCUUCAAUGAGCUAAGAUCGCACCACUGCACUCCAGCCGGGGCACCAGUGUAAGACCCUGUCUCUUCAUAUAUAUAUAAAAUUUGUGAAGCAUGUGUGUGUGUGUGUAUAUAUAUAUAUGUGUGUGUGUGUGUUUGCAAACAUAUGUAUAUAUUUACAAACAUAUAUAAAGAUACACAUGCUUCACAAAUUUUACUUCUAUACAGACAUGGAGGUUUACAUUUCAGGUGAAUAAGACAGGCUCUGUGUAAAGCAAUUUGAGAAUAAGAAAGUUUUAUCUCUUUUUCUUGAGUGGCAUGAAAGUAUAAACAAAAAACUGUAUUUACCAUGGAAAACACAGCAUAUUCACAUUCAGUUUUGUGACCUUCACCUCAACUGGAUUAGCCAGGUAGUAUGUUAUUUGCUUAGAUUCCUGGGUCAGAUACGUCCUGUAUCUUUUAGCUUUUCUGUCAGCCAAAAAGGAAUAAUUAGGACACAGAAUCUGAAUUUUAAAAUAGAUUCAGUUUAAAUUAAAGGUUCCCUUGAAUUGAAGCUGAUUCCCUUCUUAAAGGUGAUUGAUAUUUAUGGUUUUUCAUUUUCUUUGUUAUCAAGAAUACUUCUAUUGUUUUACUACAAAAUUUUUAUAAAUAUCUUUGGAUUCUGUUUUUUCUGAGUUUAUGUGAUUAAGGUUUUAAGAAUAUCUAGACAUAGUACUUUUGACUUUUUCCAGACAAGAAACAAGGUACAUAAAUAUAUACCCACUCACAUUUACAAGCCUAGGAGAUGAAGUUUCAUGUAAUACAGACUUUGGCUUAAUUUUGUUUGGUUCUUACAUAUUUGUUUGCACUUAGAAAUAAUCCUUUGAAAAUGUGUCUCAGAAAAUCAUUAACAUUGAAAAAGGAAAUAUGAAAGACUUAGAAUUCUGAAAAUUAUAACAUAGUAGACUUUUUAAUUCAUUAUCAUUUGUGACUUCAACAUUUUUGUGAGAUUACUUUAAGAGCCAUAAUACUGUAACAUUUUGUAAUUUUGUGAAAGUCCUGAUUGUCAAUAUAUGCCCUGUGAGUCUUGGUAAAGAGUAAGUCUUGAUAAGCAUAGUUGUUUUUUCAGUAUGUAGAUUUAAAUUUAACUUUGUUUCUCGGUAGAAAAUAUAUCCAGGAAAAAAACCAACCACUAGUGCUGAUAUAUAAUUGAUGAAAACAUGAAGUCCAAGGACAUGAUGAUAUUUAACAAGGAAUGAGCAACUUCAGCUGGGUAUAGUAGCUCACACUGGUAAUCUCACAACUUUGGGAGGUUGAGGUGAGAGAAUUGCUUGAGCCCAGGAAUUCAAGACUAGCCUGGACAAUGUGGCAAGACCCUGCCUCUACUAAAAAUAAGAAAAUUAGCUGAGAGUGCUGGCAUACACCUGUGGUGCCAGCUACACAGAAUGCCAAAGCAGGCAGAUCACUUGAGCCCAGGAAUUCAAAACCAGCCUGGGCAACAUGGUGAAACCCUGUCGCUACAAAAAAAUAUAACAAUUAGCUGGGUAUAGUGGCACAUGCCUGUAGUCCCAGCUACUGAGGUGGGAGGAUCACUUGAGCCUGGGAAGUUAAGGCUGCAGUGAGCCAUGAGCAUGUCACUGUACCACUCCAGCCUGGGCAAAAGAGCAAGACCCUGUCUCAAAAUAUGAAUAAAUAAAUACAUUGAAGCACUCUUUAAAUUGGCAGAUUUAUGUUAUGAACCUAAAUUACUGUACACCUUAUAGAGACACCAAAGUGCUCCCUAAAACUAACCUAGUCAUUAUGUUAGCCAGCAAAUAUUUGCUUAUGUAAAGAUAAAACUUUACUAAGAAUUAGAAAGUACUAGAGCUUAUUACUUCAAUCCCAUAUUUGUAUAAUCACUUUCAUUUUUUGCAAGGAUUAUUCUGCAUUUUAUAGCUUUAAUUAUAUGUUACUCUGUAAAUGACAUUUGAAAAAGUUGUCUUAGGACAAACUUCAUAUACACUAAGGUCUGGAAUAAUGAGGAUGAGGAAAGACCAUAACUUUUAUAAUAUUAAUUUUUUUUUUUUUAGCCUGGGUAAAAAAGAGCAAAACUCCGUCUCAAAAAAAAAAAAAAAAGACCCAGGGCAUGUCACCCCACCCCAUAUUUCAGCCUGAACGCCACCUCUCCCACUGUCGCCUGCCCCAGCUGUCCUGCCAAGUGUUCCAGAGUCACUCCCCUGCACUUUUGUUUGUCUUUUCUGCACAGCUCAGUCUGUGACUAUGAAUUUGUACCUGUUGAGUUGGGCAAACUCUGCAAGACCAGUGCCCUGAGCCCGAGGCAGGGUGGGGAAAUCACCACUCACUCACUCUAAGGCUAACUUCCAUGCAAUGCUUCAUUUUGAGGUUCAGUCUUAGCAAAGGAGAGGAGAGGGCAGAAAACGGCACCAAGAAGCUUCCAUCUGCUGCAUGUCUUGCCUACGUCCUUGAUACCUUUCUUUUUUUUUUUAUACAAAACAACUUUUCUUUUUGGAAUGAAGGAGAGGAAGAAAGAGGAAGAAAAAAAGGGAGAGAGAACGGAAAUGUAGCUUUAUUCUAAAAAUGGGUAUUAAUAAUGGCCCUCAAAAUAAUUUUUUUUUUGAGACAGAGUCUUGCUCUGACGCCUAGGCUGGAGUGCAGUGGCAUAAUCUCGGCUCACUGCAAUCUCCAUCUCCUGGGUUGAAGUGAUUCUUCUGCCUCAGCCUCCCGAGUAGCUGGAACUACAAGCUCCUGACACCACACCUGGCAUUUUUAGUAGAGAGGGUUUCACCGCGUUGGCCAGGCUGGCCUCAGGUGAUCUACCCACCUCCGCUUUCCAAAGUGCUGGGAUUACAGGCAUGAGCCACGAAGCCCAGCCAAGAUUAAUUUUUUUUUUUUGAGAGUUUUGCUCUUGUUGCCCAGGUAGGAGUACAAUGGUGCAAUCUUGACUCAUUGCAACCUCUGCCUCCCGGGUUCAAGUGAUUCUCUCAAGUAGCUGGGAUUACAGGCACCCAAACCAUGCUCAGCUAAUUUUUUUUGUAAUUUUAAUAUAGAUGGGAUUUUACCAUGUUGGCCAGGCUGGUCUCAAACUCCUGAUCUCAUAAUCUGCCCGCUUUGGCCUCCCAAGUGCUCGGAUUACAAGUGUGAGCCACCACACCCGGCCCAUUUCAAGUUAUUUAUAAGUAUAUAACACAGAUUUCCAUCAACAAAUAAUUUUAUGUAUGUAUUCCAAAGCCCUUGGAUAUAGAGGAGAAAUGGGUAAUUUUUAGCAAGUUCUGGCCUGUCCUUUUCAAUUACAGUAGCUCAGGAAAUAUAGGUAUACCUCACUACUUGAACUCAGGAGAUUUGGAUAGCAGUACCGUAUGCCAAUAGAUUUCUCCGCUAAAGCUUAAGUCUAGAUUUUACUGCGUUCACCAGCCUCAGUGUUCCCACUCUGUGGGUAGCUGACAAUCUUCACAUAGUUUCUUGUAAUAAAAUACAAUGAAAUAGUGUUUAAAUGUCAAUUAGAUACUUCUUCCCUCUCUUUCCUUUCCUCCAUCCAUCCUCAGUUUAAUUAGUUACCCAGUACUUUUUCCACACCCACCAUUUGGAGGAAGUUUGUGAUAUCAGAGUGAGUUGAUGAGGGUACUAUUGAUUUCGCUGUGUUUCCUACUGCAGUCAUUCUCUGAAAAAUGAUCAAUGCUAUUGGAACUAUGAAAGCCAGUAACAGACUUGGCCUCAAAAGAUCCCAUUGAGGCCAGGUGUGGUAGCUGACAUCUGUAAUCCCAGCACUUUGGGAGGCCAAGGCGGGCGGAUCAUGAGGUCAGAAGAUCGAGACCAUCUUGGCUAACAUGGUGAAACCCUGUCUCUACCAAAUACAAAAAAAUUAGCCGGGUGUAGUGUCGUGUGCCUGUAGUCCCAGCUAUUCAGGAGGCUGAGGUAGGGGUAUCGCUUCAACCUGGGUGGCAGAGGGUGCCAUGAGCCAAGAUCAUGCCACUGCAGUCCAGCCAGAGCAAGAGAGCAAGACUCCAUCUCAAAAAAAAAAAAAAGAUCCCGUUGAGUGUUUUUUCUUGCACUAGUUAUAUAGUCAGUUUCCCGCUUGUAAAUUAUUACAGUGGGGGAUUUAUUAAGGAAAACAUCAUUUAAAAAUUGUAAUGGCUGCUAUAAACUGUCAUUUGCAGUUCUCAGCUGACAGUCAAACAGCUGCAAUCCGUUAGUGAGCUUUUACUUUCAGCUGCCAGAGGUCUUUCAACUCUUGUUCUCCUGGAAAUGAGGAGGGCUGGGCUGGAUGGGUUGAGGGGAAGUGAGGGUUGAAAUACGUAUUUUCUCAUACCAUAUUUUUCAUGCCUCCCCACAGUUUCCAUAGAAAUGGGAACAUAAAAACACCCCACCCAGACUUGGAAGAGAAAUCAUUUAUGUGUAAACUGCAGUAGAUGGAGGCACACAAAAUAAGCUAAUCUUAGAGUCUUUCCUUUACUUAUAUUUGGCCAAGAGUAAUUUCAGAUAGAUUCUCAUUUGAUUUACUCUGCAUAUAAAAAAUGAGUUGAUAUUGCUUUUAAUCAGUUUUUAGAAAGUUUGAUAUUACCUUUUUUUCUGAAAUGAGAAUUCUCUUGAACAUACUUUGAUUGAUUGUUAGGUACGUUAUCUGUUGUUUAUGUGUUAAAUCUGGCAAGCAUGGUGUUUUAACUUUCCUCUCAUGUUUGUUCUCUCCAAGAUUAAAUAAAUGAAUUCCAGCCUGGCUAAUAUGGUGAAAUCCCAUCUCUACUAAGAAAAAAAAAAAAAUAGAAAAGUUAGCCGGGUGUGGUGGUGCGCACCUGUAGUCCCAGCUACUCAGGAGGCUGAGACAGGAGAAUCACUUGAACCCAGGAGGUGGAGGUUGCAGUGAGCCGAGAUCGUGCCACUGCACUCUGGGCCUGGGCAACUCCAUCUCAAAAAAAAAAAAGAAAUUAUUUUUAGCCUGGGUGCAGUGGUUCACGCCUCCAAUCCCAGCACUUUGGGAGACUGAGGCAGGCAAAUCACUUCAGGUCAGGAGUUUGAGACCAGCCUGGCCAACAUGGCAAAACCCCGUCUCCACUAAAAAAAAUACAAAAAUUAGCCAGGGUGGUGGCACAUGCAUGUUAUCCCAUCUACUUAGGAGGAUGAGGCAGGAGAAUUGCUUGAACCCAAGAGGCAGAGGUUGCAGUGAGCUAAGAUUGCACCAUUGCAUUGCAGCUUGGGCGAGAAAGCAAGACUCUGUCUCAAAAAGAAGAAAAAAAAAUGAAUUUUGAUUUAGGGAAUGCUCCAAUUGCAGAGUAUAAAAAGUCUUCUCAAAUAGUCUUAUUCUUAUGCAUUAUUUUAGAAAUUGCCCCCCAGAACAGAAGUAAUUAUUAGCUCUGUCAAACAUAUCAGAGAAAACUGCCAAAUUUAAUUAGUUAUCACAAUUUUCUCAUUUAGGUAACAAGAAUAUCCUGUGUUAAGUGCAUUUCUAUGUUUUCCACUUAUCAGCUCUGUGUGAUCACAUUAUCUCCUAUAACACCCAUACUCAGGGAAAAUAUAUGGGCAUAGUCUUCAUCUGUUUCUUUUAUUCCAGCAUUUAACUAACAAAUUCCAUUUGAAUCAUGACACAGCAAGAAUAUGCUUAACUAAAUAAAUCUGCUCUAGGCAUCUACUAAGUAUUCAGCUUUAUGUUAGGUUGCAGUAGAUACCAAAUGUAAGUAAGGCAGGAUUUUUUGCCUUAAGACAUCACAAUGGAGUUUGGAUAAUUCAUACCCCAGGAAUAGCUCAUAACAGCCAUAUGUGAUUAUUACGAGUGACUUAAACUAAUUCCAUGACUAGGAAAACUUGCUUCCUUUCCCUUUCUACUGUCACCUUUUUCACAAAGUCUCUUUCUCUUGAUCUAUUUUCAUAGCUUCCUAAAUAUCCUUUUAAUUGCUCCCUUUCUCCCUCCUUCCCUCCCUCCCUCCCUUUCUUUCCUUUUCCUUCUCUUUCUCUUUCUCUCUUUUUCUUUCUUUCUUUUUUCUUUUUCUCUCUUUCUCUCUUUCCUUUCUUUUUUUUCUCUCUUUCUUUCCUUUCUCUCUCCUUUUUUUUUUUUUCAGGACCCCACUCUGUCACCUAGUCUGGAAUGCAAUUGCACGAUCAUAGCUCACUGUAAACUUUUCUGGGCUUAAGGGAUUCUUCUGCCUCAGCCUCUGGAGUAGCUGGGACUACAGACCCCACUAACCAUUCCUGGCUAAUUUUUUUUUUUUUAUUUUUUGUAGAGAUGGGGCCUCACUUUGUUGCCCAGGCUGGUCUUGAACUCUUCAGCUCAAGUGAUCCUUACACCACAGCCUCCCAAAAUACUAGGAUCACAAGUGUGAGCUCCUGUACCUAACUCUUUCUUCUUUUCUUUAUCUUCCCUUCCACUUUAGCGUAUAUGUGAUUUCCAGAUUCAUAUUUGUAAAAACACAAUUUUGAUCGUUUAAGCAUUUUAAAACCUCAGUGAUCUCUUCACAUCAUUGUGACAAGACUUUUCUUUUAAAAGACAGUUCCAAUGUCAAAUAUUCUGCCUCAUAAGCCUGGCUACCAAAACAAUCCAAAAACUUUUAGUAUUUUAGGUUCUUUCAUAUUCCAAAUUGCUUCUCUUAUCCAGAAUGGAUGAAAACAUCUGUUAAGACCAUCUGCCUGAUUUUUAUUUCAGAAAAUAUGGCCACUGAGCUAGCAACUACCAAAAUAGGUUCAUGCUUUCAGUGUUUGGCAGCAACCUAGACAGUCUUCAGGCUGGCUUCAGUGUAUUCUUUCCAGCCUGUUCUGCAGGUGCCUUCUGCCAGGUCAUCUAGCUUCUCACCCAAACAAACAGGACUGCUUGGCACAGUUAGUAGACCCACAUUUUAUAGCUCCAUGCCUUUGCUUAUGGAAGUUUCCUUUGGAAUGAGGAAAGAUAUAAGCAAUAAUGAGUUGUUUCUUCCAUCCGGAACAUCUUUCCCCGCCUUAUACCCUUCUCAUAGCCCUACUCUAGGUAAUACUAUCUGUAAUUUACAUUAACACACCCCAGUCUACACAGUGUGUUAGUCUACCCCUUGGACGUGGCCGAUGAACAUUUGACGCACACUGAUAUAAGAAUACAUCAUGUAAGGAUAGUUGUUUGACAUUGGAGAGACCCUAAUCAGGAGAUAACUACUGUCAAUUUAACUUGCUUAUCUUUAAAUCUACACCCAAGGGUCUUCUAGUUAGCAUAAAGGAUGUCAGAAAUAAUUUCAAAUUGGAUUGGUUGGAAAUACCAUACAGGUUCCUCUGGCCCUGCAUGAAUUGCACAUAAGAUUCUGGCAAGGCGGGUAGCCUAACGCCUGCAUGGUGGCACCUGAGCCAGUGCACCAUUUGGGCCUGUUGACUACCACCCUAACAGAAGAUGCUUCCUACCUGGGAGAAAGGUAGGAGACCUAAUGGCCACGCCUGUCUGCAGUCCUUGGAGGCACUGAUACAUGCCCUCCUCCUCCCCCACCAAAACAAAAUAAAACAAAAAAUACCCUGACACUUUGGAAUGGUCAGUAGCAAAACCUCCCUCCAGGACAAUGCUUGCAUGCUGUCUCUCCCUUCAAGUCUACCCUAACUUUCCUGAUGGAUUUGUUAACUCAUUCUCCUCUACACCAUCAUAGAAUGAGGCUUAUAUUUCUGUUAUGGCAUUAAUAAAAUUUUAAAGUUUAUUGUAAGUUUCUUGAUGAACAGACUGUGUCAUAACUUUCUUUGUAUCUUACAUAGCAUGUGGCAUAGUGCCUUGUACACAGUAGAUAUUUGUUGAAUUAAUGAGCAUAUGUAUGUACUUAACAAUUCUGUAAGGAACAGAUCCAGCUUUGGGUCAUAGGAAUACUGGGAGCCAAUAUGUGAGUUCUUAGACUUCCAUUAAUUCACUGUUCACAGUUCUAAGGGAGUCAGUGGUAAUUUGUCCAUAACUACAUGGCUCUAAUUAGCCAUCGGUGCAAAGACACAUUGGGAUUGCUGUCAACAGUGUAGGAAAGCAGUGCGGUCUACGUUGUCUUCUUUCAGAAACUCAUACCUAAAUGUAUUUCAUACUGCUGUUCUUCCAACUCUGGCUCUAGGUAAUAAAGAAGGGGAAAUAUUUAGGACAAUUAUUUUUCUUGUUCUAUAUAUCUUAGCCAAUUUGAAGCAGUAUAUAUAACUUACCAAGUACACCAGGAGAAAAGUAAAAGAGGGGCAAUUAUAGCACACAGAUUUUAAAAACAAAGCAAAAUUAAACACUUAAUCUUAGUAACAUUAUAGUAUAGUGAAGAAUUCAAAGCAAGGAUUUUGAACCCAGACUGCUUGGAUUCAAAUUAAUCCCCACCAUAUUAGCUGUGUGGCCUUGGGCAAGCUAUUUAACCUUUCUAUGCUUUUGUUCUUCUUCUGGUAAAUGAAGAUGAUAGAAUAGCACCACCUCAGAGACGUGAGGCUAAAAUGAACUGAUACAUGUAAAGCAUAUAGUACUCAGUCCCUGGCACAGGACGUGCUGGAUGUGCUUGCUAUUCCUGCAGUGAUACGGUUCAGUCAUAGGUCCAAAGGCAGAAGCCUGCUAAUUUCCGUCAGUGUGCAGUCCUUCUGUCUCGUGUUUUGCAGUUCCCCACCCCCAAAGGAGUCAUCUUCAUGCCUUGAAGCCACUACAUAUUGGUGCCUACACCUUUCUUGUGAGACCUGUCACAUUCUACCCUAAAUUAUAUAAUUAUUUGUAAGGUCCUUAAAAGCAGACAUCUUCUUUGUCUUCCUCGCAGCACCCGGCAGAAUGAUUAUAUAACAGCCUUGCUCACACAGUAGCUCUUUGCUAACUGUUUGGGGAAACUAUGAACCUCUGUGAGGUUGGUCCCUGGAGGCCCUGCACCUUGGACUGGUUCCUGGGUACCUCUCAUACUCUUCAGUUUCAGCUAGCAAAGUCUUCCCGCACUGUACUCCGGCAACUGGCCUUAAGUCCCUUCAACAUGCAUCCUUUUCCAAAACUGGCUUCAUGUGUAUAUGACCUGUGCAGCCACAUAGGUCCCCACACUUGGCUGAAUGCUCCCUCACUAGCUUGAAAUUCUUAGUUUCUGUGUUCCAUUUUUAUCUUGCACAGAGCCUGCAAAUUGUGUAGCUGGUCUUGCUCUUCGUCAUCCUGUGCUCAUCAUUCCCUGUGCCUGGAACACCCUUUCUCCCUAAUCCUCACUGGCUAACCUGCUCUUCAGGGCUCAGCUUCAUUGUCAUUUCUUAGAAAAGCAGUAAAAAUUAGAUCCAUGUACUAGUAUCCUUCCAUUUUUUCUUCUCUCUGAGAGCACUUCACUUACUUUGUAAAUACAGUAUUUAUUUAAAUUGUGAUUAUUUCUUUUAAGACUUUCUCCCCACCAGACUAUAAACUCCUCCAGGGGAUAGUCUUUGUUCCAGGAUCACUAUGCCUGCUACAUAGUAAACAGUAAAUAAAUACUUGUUGAAUGAGUGAGUGAAUAAGUCAUUUUUAGAAAUGCAAAGUUGUGGCCGGGUGCAGUGACUCACGCCUAUAAUCCCAGCCCUAUGGGAGGCUGAGGCAGGCGGAUCACUUGAGGUCAAGAGUUUGAGACCAGCCUGGCCAACAUGGCAAAACCCUGUCUCUACUAAAAGUACAAAAAAAUUAGCCAGUAGUGGUGGUGUGCGCCUGUAAUCCCAGCUACUCAGGAGGCUGAGGUAGGAGAAUCGCUUGAACCCAGGAGGUGGAGGUUGCAGUGAGCUGAGAUCACACCACUACACUACAGCCUGGGCAACAGAGCAACAUUCUGUCUCAAAAAAAAAAAAGAGAGAGAGAGAAAAGAAAUGCAAAGUUGUAUGGAUAAGCCUUUCUUCCCAAGAGUUAAAAAGUUGAUAUAUAUCCAGCGCCCGCGAUGACUGCCACUCUCCGCCCCUAUCUGAGUGCCGUGCGGGCCACACUGCAGGCUGCCCUCUGCCUGGAGAACUUCUCCUGUCAGGUUGUGGAACGACACAACAAGCCGUAAGUGGAAGUCAGGAGUAGCAAAGAACUCCUGUUACAACCCGUGACCAUCAGCAGGAAUGAGAAGGAAAAGAUUCCGAUUGAGGGCUCCAUCAACUCUGUCUGGGUCAGCAUUGCUGUGAAACAGGCUGAUGAGAUCAAGGAGAUUUUAUGCCACAAAUUCAUGCGCUUCAUGAUGAUGUGAGCAGAAAACUUCUUCAUCCUUUGAAGGAAGCCUGUGGAGGGGUGUAUGACAUCAGCUUUCUGAUCACCAACUUCCACACAGAGCUGAUGUACAAACACAAGUUGGUGGACUUUGUGAUCCCCUUCAUGGAGGAGAUUGACAAGGAGAUCAGUGAGAUAAAGCUGUCAGUCAAUGCCUGUGCCCGCAUUGUGGCUGCGGAGUUCCUUAAGAAUUUUUAAACCAUCUGGCUGGAUCUUGUGGCCUUCCCCCUCAGACUCCCCAUGUCUCCAUGAAGGCAUCCUGAAGUCACUCCCCAGAACAGCAACAGCUGCAGCAGGGAGCUGGGUUAGGGUGGGCAUUUGAUAUGGGAGGUGGGUGGUAUGCUUGCUAGCUGGGCAAGAAAGCAGCAGUGGACGUGCCCCAAGGCCACACGUGCCUGGUCAGGCUGGCCUCUGAUGUUCAGUCCCCUGGGCCGGGACAGAUUUUUUGUUAACGUCUUGAAACUUAAACUCUGUGCUUAGAGGAGACUGUAAUCUUUUUGUCUUUUUUUUUUUUUUUUUAUUUAAACAAACAACCUCCACCUCCAGUGGCUGUGACUGGUCCCAGUGAUUGUCCCUUAUUGGUUGCUGUGGGUCUGGGCAGGCCUGGAGCCCAGAAGGCGAUUAUUUUUCCUCUCCUAUGCCAUCCCACGUGGGGAGGGAGGGAGGUUUCAGACUCCAGUUCCUCUCCCUUGCUCUUUUAUUCCGAAGCCUCCUUGGACCCAGUAUAAGUGGUGGGAACCCUCUGCCAGCUUCCUGAGUUCUGCCUGAAGAUGGCCACCCAGCACUGGUUAGGGACAAGGGCCAAAUUGGUGACCACCAGUCAUGCCUAGGACCUGGGGCCCAAAAGCCAGGCAACCUCAGGCUAUAGGGGCCAUUGGGUACCCUCCCAGUUGAGAGGGGCCGCUGUUUCGCCUUGUCUGUCAGUGCAGUGCCUGCUAUAGGUGGCGAGGUGAGUCCUCCUCCAGAGCUUCCCAGCCGGGUCCUCCUCCUGCCUGCUCUGGCUUCUCUGUUCCCAUGCUAGCUGUCCCUUUUCUAAUUCUGGUGGAUCCUCCCUCCCCUAAUUAAAGUCUCUUUUUGCCCCUUUGGGGCUGCAUGAGGAAAAAAAAAAAAGUUGAUAUAUAAAAAUGGCAAUGCAAGGCCAGGCAUGGUGGCUUACACCUGUAAUCCCAGCACUUUGGAAGGCCGAGGUAUACAGAUCACUUGAGCCCAGGAGUUCAAGACCAUCUGGGGUAACAAAGUGAAACCCCACCUCUACAAAAAAAUUAGCCAGGCAUGGUGACAUAUGCUUGUGGUCCUAGCUAUUCAGGAGGCUGAGGUGGGAGGAACCCUAGAGCCUGGAAAGCCAAGGCUGAAGUGAGCUGUGAUUGCAUCACUACACGCCCCCCUGAGCAACAGAGCGAGACCCUGUCUCAAAAAACGAAAAAAAAUAAAAAAUAAAAAGGCAGUACAAUCUUCAUGCAGUUUAAUACUGCUGGUGAUGGCAUUUAACCAGUUUUACUUACUGUCUUUAAAAGUGGAUGAAUACACUAAAAUUCCCCAUUUUUCUUUUCUACUGUUUGCCCUUCUCAUAUAGUCUGGUAUAGUACAGUUGAAUCUCUCUAAAGUCAGAUUUACUCAGGUUGUCUUAUACAUUAGUUUCAAAUUAAAUUUCUUAGAGCAUAAAUGUCUAUAGCCUCCUGCCUCUUGUAUUUUUAGCAAGAGAUAUAUAUUUAUUUUUGAUCUAAUUACCGGUGACAGCUGACAUGAAAGUACUGCUUCAGGUUCCUUAACAUUCUGUGGUGGAAAGGCCAGUACUAUUACAAUGGAGUGGGGCCGGGCGCGGUGGCUCACACCUGUAAUCCCAGCACUUUGGGAGGCCAAGGCGGGUGAAUCACUAGGUCAAGAGAUCGAGACCAUCCUGGUCAACAUGGUGAAACCCCGUCUCUACUAAAGAUACAAAAAAUUAGCUGGGCAUGGUGGCGUGUGCCUGUAAUCCCAGCUACUCAGGAGGCUGAGGCAGGAGAAUUGCCUGAACCCAGGAGGCGGAGGUUGCGGUGAGCUGAGAUCGCGCCAUUGCACUUCAGCCCGGGUAACGAGCGAAACUCCGUCUCAAAAAAUAAUAAUAAUAAUAAUAAUGGAGUGAGCACUUGAUAAUAAUAGAGAACAAUGUCCUACUUGGUUUUCCCAUCAUUCUUCCUCUCCUUUCUUAUUGUCUAUGUUUAAAGAAGCUUAAUUAACUCAGAAUGCAGAGCUGUAUCAGCUUUCUGUAGUCCAAUUUUGGAACUGCUUAGUCUACUCCCUGGAAUCAGACCAAUAUCAUUCAACAUGUAACCAGAUUUAAUGCGUGCCAUCUUACAGUCUCAGCGUUCAGUGCUUGGUAGUCAUUCCAUUACUUUCCAAAUACUGUACUAAAAUUUUAAGUGUAAAUUUCUAACCAAAAACUCAUUUAGAAAUGGAAUUCUACUUGAGAUUUACAGUGGAUUUUGAGUACCUCCCCCCAAAAGAAAUUUUAAAAAUCCAACAUGGUAUACUAAGUUGUUAUUAUUGCUUAAUAUUUGCAAAGAGAAAAAGAGUCAGAAUUUUCAUAACUUAGCCCCACAUUGAGAAUAAUCAGUACAGUGAGAGAAUAAUUUUUAUUGCUUAAAAGAAAAAGAGGCUAAAUGUCUUUUUUAAUUUCCUUCAAGUGUAAAGAAUCUGAGAAAAACAGAUUUUAAAACCAAUAGAAGGAAUGGUCAUGAUCCAGCAGCAACUGCUGCAUGUGGGUGAAGAAAAGAAGACAGCAUUAUUUGUACAAAUCCAUAUGGGAUGCAGCGGGAACAGAAAGAAACAAGAAGUAUAGUAACAGAGAAGGAGGGCACUCCCAGUGAAGAUGUAGCCCUCAAAAAAUGUUCCAUCUAAGCACUGACUGAUUCCAGUACCUUCAGGUGAUUUGCUUUAAGUUGUAAAUCUUCAGAAUGGUUUAUGCUCUCAAUGCUUUUUUUCAGAAGGCUGUGAGAUGAGGAAAAAUAUAUUAUUUUCAGUCUGCCCCCUCUUAAGACUUUAUGGAAUUUUAAGGAGGCUUCUCCCAGAGUUAAAUUCCUGAUUCAACCACCCCAGAGUCUAUUUGACCAUCUCUCUCUCUUUCUCUCUCCUUUUUUUUUUCUAGCUUGCCCAGAAAGAUCAAAGUAAAGGUAUUCUUUUGUUUUGUUUUGUUUUGUUUUUAAUCUCCUACUUUAUGCCUAAUAAUGGGGCAGAUAUCUUAGGUUCAUUCUCUCUCAGUUAUGUGUUAACAGCAUCUCCAUUCUUGAGUUGAUUAGCUCAGUUAACUGUUGCAGGCUACUGAUCAGGCUUAUUAGAGGUCCUAUGUUUGAGAGCUAUGCGUGCUGGCUGGAUGACAGUCAAUGUAGAUGAGAGUCAUGUAACAUAGUGUAUGAUUAAGGCUUUAACUCUGGUGUCAGAAGGACCUUUUGGGAAGCUGGGUGCAGGGGUAUGCGCCUGUGGUCCCAGAUACUCGGGAGGAUGAGGCAGGAGGACUCCUUGAGCCCAGCAGUUCAUAGCCAGCCUGGCAACAUAGUGAAACCUCGUCUCUUAAAACAAAAGCCUGUAGGAUCUGCCAUUAUGAUGGGAUCUAUGCGUGUUACCUAGUUUUUCUUGGUUUACUCAGUUUAUAAAACGGGUAUAGUAACGCCCAGUUUACUUUUGUGAGACUUAAGUAAUAUAAAAUAUGCUAAAUGCUGACCGAGCACGGUGGCUCACGCCUUUAGUCCCAGCACUUUGGGAGGCUAAGGUGGGAGGAUCACCUGAGGCCAGGAGUUCGAGAUCAGCCUGGCCAACAUGGUGAAACCCCAUCUCUACUAAAAAUACGAAAAUUAGCUGGUGUGGUGGCAGGCACCUGCAAUCCCAGCUACAUGGGAGACUGAGGCAGGAGAAUCACUGGAACACAGGAGUCAAGGUCACUUGACCUGGCUAAAAAAUUAGCCAGGCAUGGUGGUGGGUGCCAGUAGUCCCAGCUACAGGCUAAGAGGUGUAAGAUCACUUGAGACCAGGAGGUCAAGGCUAUAAUGAGCCAUGAUUACACUACUGCACCCAGCCUAGCCUGUUUAAUUUUUUUCUUUCUUUCUUCUUUUUUUCUUUUUUGAGAUGGAGUUUUGCUCUUGUCACCCAGGUUGGAGUGCAAUAAUGCGAUCUCCGCUCACUGCAACCUCUGCCUCCUGGGUUCAAGCGAUUCUUCUGCCUCAGCCUACCAAGUAGCUGGGAUUACAGGCACCUGCCACCACGCCCAGCUAAUUUUUUUUGUAUUUUUAGUAGAGACGGGGUUUCACCAAGGUCAGGCUGGUCUCGAACUCCUGACUCAGGUGAUCUGCCCGCCUCAGCCUCCUAAAGUGCUGGGAUUACAGGUAUGAGCCACCAUGCCUGGCCAGCCUGUUUUAUUUCUAAACCACCCCAAAUAGAGUAUCAAAGAGAAAUUGUGCUGCUCAAAUUGUUCUUGAAGAAUAUGGUUUUUCUCUUUGUUAAAACUUAAUUUUAUUCUUAUAUCCAAACUGCUUAUAUAAAUAGAUUCUUGAAAUAUUUUGGGACACUAAAAUAGUUUUUCCUGAUCUUACAAAUUUCUUCUCUCCUAAAAUUUAUUUAUAAAUUGGUUGUUUGAAACUCAGAAUGGAUAUUCCCUUAGGAAGUGGUGGUUGUGUUCUCAGGCCAAUUCAUCAAAGCUUCUCUAGCUUGUCUCUUAAUUCUCCCUUUCUAGUGCUUAAUGUUUUAAUUUAGUGGUUUUCAAAUGGACAGUAUAUCAAAAUUGCCUGAGGUUUUCAAAUGGACAGUAUAUCAAAAUUUGUAAAGAUAAAGGUACUUGUACAAAAAAAAUAGAAAGAAUGAAUAAGACCUAGUGUUUGAUAGCACCGCAGGGUGACUAUAGUCAAUAAUAAUUUAAUUGUACAUUUAAAAAGAACUAAAAGAGUAUAACUGGGCUGGGUGUGGUGGCUGGCCUCUGUAAUCCCAGCACUUUGGGAAGCUGAGGCAGUCAGAUCACUUGAGCCCAGGGCUUCAAGACCAGCCUGGGAAACAUAGCAAGAUCCUGUCUUUACAAAGAAUUAGCCAGACAUGGUGGCGGGUGCCAGUAGUCCCAGUUACAGGCUAAGAGGUGGGAAGAUCACUUGAGCCCAGGAGGUCAAGGCUACAGUGAGCCAUGAUUACACUACUGCACCAGCCAAGGUAACAGAGUGAGGCCCUGCCUCCAAAAAAUAAAAAAAAUAAAAAGAAAUAAGAGAGUGUAAUUGGAUUCUUUACACAGAAGAUAAAUGCUUGAGGGGAUGGAUACCUCAUUUUACCUGAUGUGAUUAUUACACAUUACAUGCCAGUUUCAAACCAUCUCUUGUACCCCAUAUAUAUGUAAAAGUCCUCUGUGGCUGGAGCAGAGACUGGUUGUCUCUAAACUCCUUUUUGUGUUGUUGUUGUUGUUGUUGUUGUUGUUGAGACAGAGUCUCGCUCUGUUGCCAGGCUGGAGUGCAGUGGCGUGAUCUCAGCUCACAGCAACCUCUACCUCCCGGAUUCAGGCAAUUCUCCUGCCUCAGCCUCCCAAGUAGCUGGGAUUACAGGCACGCGCCACCACAUCCGGCUAAUAUUUUUGUAUUUUUAAAAGAGACGGGGUUUCACCAUGUUGGCCAAGAUGGUCUCGAUCUCUUGACCUCAUGAUCCACCCACCUUGGCCUCCCAAAGUGCUGGGAUUACAGGCGUGAGCCACCACACCCGGCCCCCUUCUCUAAACUCUUUCUUGUGAUCCUUGUCAGUGAAAGUCAUAUGUACCCACACCACCAAUAUAUGUAUAUUCAUUUUUAAAUAAAUUAACUACCUGUACUACAAUAAGAUAAGCACAAAUAUUUUUUAAAAGAUGAAAUAUAAAGUUCUUCCUAUAAUCAUGUUCUAAAAACAGAACAUGAAAUUCUAAUAAUCACCUGUUGCUUUCUGUACCUAUUUGGAUAGUUUUACGUACUUUCUGGAAUGGACAAACCACACUUUUGCAAAAUAUAGGCAUAGUUAAGGGGAGGUAGAUAGAGAUUAGAUUCUAUAGGAUCAGCAGAGCCAAGAAUUUCUUUAUCCUAAGUGCAAUAGGAAGCAACUGGAAAAUUUUAGGAAGGGAAAUGAUGGCAGAUUUCCACCUUGGAAAAGAUCACUUUGGCAGCCCAAUAGCAAAAAGAUGUAAUAAAGCAACCAUGAACAUGGGGAGUCCACUUUGGAAUUUAUGGCACUAGCUCUGAUGAAAGGUGAGUAUGGCUUGAAUUGGGCAUUGCCAAUGAAGUUCAGAACAAAAACAAGAUAGAUAUUUUGGAGACAUACAGUAGUAGAGAGUCUAGUGAUGGAUUGCCUGAGCAUUGGUUGGGGGAGAAGACAGUGGUGACUUGUGGGUUUCUGGCUUGAGCUUCUAGAUGGAAGUCAAACAAUGGCAGAAGAACAAAUUGGGGACAGAAAGUGGGGCGUUAGUCCAGGCUUAAAGGUCUUGAAUGUGAACCAUCAAAAUGAUAUGAAGUUUGCAAUUGGAUAUGUAGGCUGAGCUUAGUAGAAGUUCUGGGCUGAAAACUAUAAAUUGAAGAGUUGUCAACAUAAAGUACAGAAACCCCUCUACCCCCAGAUAUUAUUUACUGAUGGGAAAUCUCUAAAGCAGAAGUGCCAAGGAGUUCCACAAAAAUAUUAAACAAAAUUAGACUUACAGGACCAAAGAUGAGGAAUUAAAAAUGAACAGGUAGGCAGAUUCUAUAAAAUGCAAGUCUCCUAAAGUUGCUACAGCAUUGGGACCACAGCUUAUAUUAGAAUGUGGCAAAUAAAGUAGAAAUCAAUAUUUCAGAAGCUCUCAGGGACUCUUUAUGAGCACACUACAUUCUGGAGUAAGCCAUGAACACUGGAAAGUGGCUCAUGUCAUACAAGUAUUCAAAAUGAGUCCAGGAAGCUGUCAAAAGUGUACACACCAUUAGGCUUGAGUAAUAGGGAAAACUAGACAUGUCAGACGAGAUUAAAGCAGGUACAGCCCCAUAGAUUGUAGGUUAGUGUGAAUUCAGGAGGAGAAUGCCUGGGAAUUUGAUGUCUGUAUAAGCCUUGGGAAUUAUGUUAGAGUUGCAAGAGGUAAGGAUGUCCUUUGUCCCCACCUCCUUAAACCAUUAUGCUCCUUAAGUAUUAGAAUACAACUCAUAAUCAUUUACAGGCUCUUAGGUUCUCUGAAGGUUUCCCCCCACCCCCAAGACACAUGGGGCAAAAUCUUGUUUAAUAUGUUCCCUCUCCUCCUAGUGCUGAAAGCUUAAAACAAAGUGGCUUGUUUUGCUGAUCACUGUGAAGAGGAUGAAGUGAAGCCUAUGGAUAUGUCCCCGCUCUUGAUGGAUGCCUUCUGAUUCCUUUUCAUCUGUUCCUUCCCAAGCCAUUUAUAGUACUGCAAACUGACUGUUAGAAUUUUGGUUACCACUGAUCCACUUUAUGUCCAGAUCUUGAUAAGUCCUUGAAGAAAUAACUGUGACUCUGACUUGAAAACUCUCAGCAACCCCCAACUUUCCAAGGAAAGUGAUACUGUAUUACAUAUCUAUUUUUUCUCUGUCCAUUGAUUAAUAUAUUAAAUAAGAUAGUUUACAUUCAUCCUAAGAAAUUGGCUGAAGUGAGCAAGAGCCACACAUAGUGGCUGCUACCUUUGGCCUAUAUUAUAUUGCUUUUCUAGGCACUUGAACUGAGCACCAGGAAUCUUCAUUUCAGAAAAUAUUAACUUGGGUCAUAUCAAUCUUUUAAAAAGAAAAAACACGGUGAUGUACGUUACCAGCAUUUGCAUCCACAAAUUAAUAUUUUUGUGUGUUUCAUUUCUGAGUUACAGAAGCAGAUUCAUCAAACCCUUAAUGAUAGCUCUUGCAGGUGACUGGCCCAAUGUUAAAACUGAGCUCAGUGGCUGGGCACAGUGGCUCAUGCCUGUAAUCCCAGAACUUUGGGAGGCCAAGGUGGGUGGAUCAUGAGGUCAGGAGUUCAAGACCUGGCCAACAUGGUGAAAUCCCAUCUGUACUAAAAAUACAAAAAAUUAGCCAGGCUUGGUGUCUUGUGCCUGUAAUCCCAGCUACUCAGGAGGCUGAGGCAGGAGAAUCGCUUGAACCCAGGAGGCAGAGGUUGCAGUGAGCCGAGAUUGCACCACAGCACUCCAACCUGGGCAACACAGUGAGACUCCGUCAUAAAAAAAAAAAAAAGAAAAGAAAAAAAAUCUGAGCUCAGGGGAAAUGCUGUGUUUUGACUGGGCAAGGAAGCUUGCAUAAACCAGUCAUCAUGAAAGCCCUCCUCACUGAGGUGCUUCUCCCUCUGCAACCUUCCAUCCCACAAAUUUCUUCUUGAUCAUCUUUGUACCUUUGAUAAAUAUCUGUUAUUGCACUUAUGAAACUAGAUGAUAACUAGAUACAUAAUUGGCACUAUGCCUAGACUGUCAGCUUCUUACGCAGAUUUACUUUUUGUGCCAGGAAGUAGAACAAAGUAGUUAAAGAGGGCAGGCUUUGGAGGCCAACUUGAUUUCAUGUCUGACUAUUUACUAGCACUGUGAUCUUGGGCAGGUUACCUAUCCUCAACUUAUUUGUAAAAUCUAAAUAAUACUUACCUCGCAGAGUUGCUGUCAGGAUUAAAUGUAGAUUUUUCUAAAUUAUAGGCUUAAAACUGUUAGGAAAUUUUUUGACAUGAAGGAAUUCCAUACUUAAUGCCAAUUACUGCUAAUGAAUAACAAAGCAGAAGGAAGUGGACUUCUGAAUGAAUCACUGCAGUGCUAAAACGUGCACACUGGUCCAGGCCUCUCCUCGUCUUUAUUGACAGUUUAGCUCAGUGGUUUUUAGUAUGAACCCCACAUCUUCUCAAGCAUGUAUCCCUCAAACCUACCAGCCCCCAACAUCCACACCUGGUUUAGAAAGGUGUGUGGACAUCCUGUUUGUCACAGUGACAGCUAUUACUGACAUUUAAUAAGUGAAAUCAUAAAUGGGCCCAGGGAUGCCAUGGGCUCAGAAAUGGAGAGUGGAGUCUACAUACCAAAAAUUACUCCACCGAAAAUGCCAAUAAUACCUUACCUUGAUAAACAGUGGUAGUGCCCAGGUUCUUUUCUCUGCUUAAAUGCAAAACCAACUUUUCACAAAAUUAAUAUACUAUUUGAUAAAAAUCAGGCUAUGCCAAAGAGCAUGCUGUAUAUAUUACAGAGCAUAACUUGAAAAAUCUUUUCAUGUGUAUUCUGUUAUGUUAUUUCUUUCUUUUCUGUGUACAAGUUCUCUGUAGGUUACUAUAAUGAGUUUCAAAUGUGUUAAGAGUUCCAUUAUUCCAUUAAUUAUGAUCCGAAGUUUAAGAUCUGUGGUGUUGAAAAGCACUGCAGUUCCUAAAUAUACACAGCCCUUGAACUCCUAACUGUACAAAGAUCUUGCUGGGGCCAGGAAUGGUAGCUCACACCUGUAAUCCCAGCACUUUGGGAGGCUGAGGUGGGAAGAUUGCUCGAGCCUUGGAUUUUGAGACCAGCCUGGACCACAUAGUAAGACCCUGUCUCUUAAAAAAAAAAAAAAAAAAAAAAAAAAAAAAAGCAAGGCAUCGUGGUGUGCCCCUAUAGUCCCAGCUACCCAGGAAGCUAAAGUGGGAGGAUCACUUGAGUCCAGGAGUUCAAGGCUGUGAUUGCACCAUUGCACCCCAGUCUGAGCAACAGAACAAGACCCUGUCUCUCAAAAAAAAAAAAAAGAUGAUUGAGUUUGAUAAUCAGGAAACCUAACCAAAUCUUUUAUGUAAGCAAAUAAAUAUGUUUUUAUUUGUUUGUUUUGUUUCGAGACAGGGUCUCACUCUGUCACCUAGGCUGGAGUGCAAUGGCGUGAUCUCACCUCACUGCAACCCAGCCUCCCAGGCUCAGGCGAUCCCCCCACCCACCUCAGCCUCCCAAGUAGCUGGGACUACAGGCAUAUGCCACCACACUCAGCUAAUUUUGUAUUUUUUGUAAACACAGGGUUUCACCAUGUUUUCCAGGCUGGUUUUGAACUCCUAAGCUCAAUUGAUCCACCCACCUUGACUUCCCACAGUGCUGGGAUUAAAAGCAUGAGCCACCACACCCAGCCAAAAUAUGUUUUGUUGGAAAUAACUCACUUUGGAAGGCUGAGGAGGGCAGAUCCCUUGAG